rnacentral:rRNA from 1 species
UACCAGCACCCCGAGUGGUCGGGACGAUUAUUGGGCCUAAAGCAUCCGUAGCCGGCCUUACAAGUCCUCCGUUAAAUCCAGCUGCUUAACAGAUGGGCUGCGGAGGAUACUAUAAGACUAGGAGGCAGGAGAGGCAAGCGGUACUCAGUGGGUAGGGGUAAAAAUCCGUUGAUCCAUUGAAGACCACCAGUGGCGAAGGCGGCUUGCCAGAAUGCGCUCGACGGUGAGGGAUGAAAGCUGGGGGAGCAACCAG